rnacentral:rRNA from 1 species
AGAGUGAACGCUGGCGGUAGGCCUAACACAUGCAAGUCGAACGGCAGCACGGUAAGAGCUUGCUCUUAUGGGUGGCGAGUGGCGGACGGGUGAGGAAUACAUCGGAAUCUACCUUUUGGUGGGGGAUAACGUAGGGAAACUUACGCUAAUACCGCAUACGCCCUUCGGGGGAAAGCCGGGGACCAGCAAUGGCCUGGCGCUGAUAGAUGAGCCGAUGUCGGAUUAGCUAGUUGGUGAGGUAAUGGCUCACCAAGGCGACGAUCCGUAACUGGUCUGAGAGGAUGAUCAGUCACACUGGAACUGAGACACGGUCCAGACCUCCGUACGGGAGGCAGCAGGUGGGGAAUAUGGAACAAGUGGGACGAAAGCCUGAUCCAGCCAUCGCCGCGUGUGUAGAAGAAGUCUUACGGAUUAGUAAAGCUAACGUUUAAGGUGGAAGGAAGGCUAAGUUACC